UGAACUUCUCCUUAUCCUCAUGGCUGGGGAUGAUAGUCCGGAUAGCGGCUCAUCAUGAAAGCUGCUGCACCAGCUAUGAGUCAUCUGCAGAGGGAGGUGGUGUCUGACGUAACGGCCUUACAGCUGCAAAUGGGAGACUCAACGUGCCUCCAUGUGGUGAAAUGCCUUUGGACAUAGAAGAAGACAGAGCUUGGACCAGAUGUCUGGAGGCCGGAUCAGUCAUCACACAGCACUUUUGGGCAUUGCUCCCCAGUGAUGAAUUCCCAGCCAGCUGCAGGAAAGCACUAGCCACAACAGUAGGAAAGGGCACCGAUGGAUCACCGUCCAUAUGAGAUACCAUUAGUAGAAAUGGAACAGGAAAAAAUGGAGCAUUAAAAAUGUGCCAAGACAUUUUUCCUGUACAUUUUCAAAGUAAGCAAAGUACACAUCCAUUAUUUUUUUUCCAUAAAGGUCAGAUAAUAAUAAUAUAACCUGUGCCUGGCUACUUUUAACUAAC